GGCCCUCUAGCUCAAUUGGUAGAGCAGUUGACUCUUAAUCAAUUGGUUCGGAGUUCGAGUCUCCGGAGGGUCA
rfam:Anaerolinaceae bacterium 46_22 MPJ_scaffold_4557, whole genome shotgun sequence.